rnacentral:rRNA from 1 species
GCUUGUCUCAAAGAUUAAGCCAUGCAUGUCUAAGUAUAAACACCUUUAUACUGUGAAACUGCGUACAGCUCAUUAAAUCAGUAAUAAUUUAUUUGAUGGUGACUUACUACAUGGAUAACCGUAGUAACCUAGAGCUAAUACAUGCACAAAAUCCCGACUUCACGGAAGGGAUGUAUUUAUUAGAUAAAAAACCAAUCCGGCAACGGUGCUUGGUGAUUCAUAAUAACUUUCGGAUCGUUUACGAUGCAUCAUUCAAGUUUCUGCCCUAUCAGCUUUGGAUGGUAGGGUAUUGGCCUACCAUGGCUUUAACGGGUAACGGAGAAUUAGGGUUCGAUUCCGGAGAGGGAGCCUGAGAAAUGGCUACCACAUCCAAGGAAGGCAGCAGG